GGCGUCCGUAGUGUACUGGUGUGCACAGUUGAUUGUGGAUCAACAAGUGAGGGUUCGAUUCCCUCCGUUCGCCC
rnacentral:tRNA from 1 species